rnacentral:misc_RNA from 1 species
CAGCAAAUUCCUCCACAAACCACUAAAUUGUAAAGGUCCUUAUUACCUCACUAGUCACUACCAUGUUGGGCUCCUAAGAAAAGUAAAAUAAUAAUAAUAGAAAAACAAAUUACAAAGACCACUGUUUUGAGCACAGCUGAAUUGAAUCUAUAAAAUUAGGGUCCCGUUUCUUUUCCUCAGCUAUCCAGAAACCAAAAAUCAAGGAGCCCAAAAGAAGCAGAGGCAGAAACAACUAAAAGAGGAAAAUUUCAGA